CUUCCGGCUCCGAUUCCAGUGACUAGGCUCCCUUCCUGAUUGCGCAGAGGGCUGUUGUCUGGGACGGUGAUCUGCUCUGCUGUCACAGCUGCCCCUGGCUGCUGUCAUCGGCCCAGCUCAGCUACUACUUCCCCUGACAUGAAGACUUCCCUAGUGAGCAGACUUGUAUCUGACAGGAGGAUGUGAACAGCAAGAUCGGAUGGCAUCUUUUUAUCUAGGCAGGGGCUUCAAAGUGGGCCCGAGUGUCCCACACCUACACCCCCUGCAUUUCCUUGGAAAGGUGGAUCUCCUCAGCCCAAUAAUGGUACCUCUCUCUUCUCCAUUUAUUUCUCAGUGUGACCUGCCAUGACCCUCUGCCAUCUGAAUGGUGCCAUCCACACUCAGCUCUUCCGGCACCUUCUCUGCCCUGCAAGGAACAUAUCAGACAAUGUCAUCCCGUUGUUCUUACCCUUUAGAUAACAUCCUGCCAUGCUUGGGCAUUUCUAAAGAAGAUCUGGAAGGCUCCAGGACCCAGCUAAUCUCAGACUGCUCACACUGCUUCUCCCCCAUCUCCAAACAUCAGCUCCAUCCCUGCACUUGAUUCUUGUCCUGUCUCUUUUCUCCCUUAGGAAAUUUGCCCCUGGGGAUCACUGCGAAGAAUGCUGUCACCAUGUCUUUUAUUGUUAUUAGCUGCUUGCUGGUCUUCUCUCAGGAUUCUGACUAAAACUCUCUGUCUCAGGGAAACCUGCCCCCACCCACGUGCUGCAGAUCCCUCUGCUAACCUCCUCAGAUGCCUUAGUUUAGCCUCUUAGCCCUGUGCCACUUGUAUGAACAAAAGCUAGCCCAGAGGCACCGAGAUGCACCCAUGUCACAUUUAGGAAGGAGAGCUCAGUGCUGCUGCUUGGGUUAUUCUGACCACAGGGAAGCCCAAGUUUGGAGUCUCGCUUCUCUGCCUCUGUCUUUCAUCUCUCUGUAAGUUGGGGCUUCUGCUUUGUAUGCAGUCUGUCUCUCGGGUAUGUGUCACCUGUCCUUGCUAUCUGUGCCUUGAUGCUGCCCCUAACAAAGUGCUGUGUUCUGUGCUUAUCAGUCAACACAGAAAGCAUCACAUGGGAGAGGAAAUAAGAGAUAAUUUCAAAAAUCCUAAGUGUUUUACACAGGGUUAAAUCUCUGACUCCAGCUGACCCCACAGCACUGGCUCCUGCAAACACACAAUCCCUGAGCAGUUCUUACAUUGUUUCAAAAUAUUAUCAUGGGGAUUUGUUGUAUAAGGUUGUUUUUGACCUGUCUGUUGUUUUCAGUGAGUGACUACAGUAACACACACACACAC